rnacentral:rRNA from 1 species
UACGUAGGGUGCGAGCGUUGUCCGGAAUCAUUGGGCGUAAAGGGCGCGUAGGUGGCUCGGUCAGCGUGCGGUGAAAGCUCGGGGCUCAACCCCGAGUCGGCCGUGCGAACUGCUGGGCUUGAGCACUGUAGAGGCAGGCGGAAUUCCGGGUGUAGCGGUGGAAUGCGUAGAGAUCCGGAAGAACACCGGUGGCGAAGGCGGCCUGCUGGGCAGUAGCUGACACUGAGGCGCGACAGCGUGGGGAGCAAACAGG